AGUUCGGACUGCAGUCUGCAACUCGACUGCACGAAGCUGGAAUCGCUAGCAAUCGCGGAUCAGCACGCCGCGGUGAAUACGUUCCCGGGCCUUGUACACACCGCCCGUCACACCAUGGAAGUCUGCAAUGCCCGAAGCCGGUGGCCUAACCACUUAUGUGGAAGGAGCCGUCUAAGGCAGGGCAGAUGACUGGGGUGAAGUCGUAACAAGGUAGC
rnacentral:rRNA from 1 species